UUCUGUGAUGCCCCUUAGAUGUUCUGGGCCGCACGCGCGCUACACUGACAGAGCCAGCGAGUACAUCACCUUGGCCGAAAGGUCUGGGUAAUCUUGUUAAACUCUGUCGUGCUGGGGAUAGAGCAUUGCAAUUAUUGCUCUUCAACGAGGAAUGCCUAGUAAGCGCAAGUCAUCAGCUUGCGUUGAUUACGUCCCUGCCCUUUGUACACACCGCA
rnacentral:rRNA from 1 species